AAGUCGUAACAAGGUUUCCGUAGGUGAACCUGCGGAAGGAUCAUUAUUGAAGCUCGGAAUGCGUGUUCGGUGCUGAUGCUGCCCAGCGAUGGGACGUGCUCGCUCGGAUGUGUGUCCCUUCUCUAUUCCACCCCUUUGUGAACCAAGUGUGCGAGCCGAUGAGAGAUCGGAGGCUCGCAUGCAAACCCUUAACAUACCCCAAUGAAGUAUCAGAAUGUAACUUGCGUUAACUCGCACAAAUACAACUUUCAACAACGGAUCUCUUGGCUCUC
rnacentral:misc_RNA from 1 species